rnacentral:rRNA from 1 species
AUUGAACGCUGGCGGCAGGCUUAACACAUGCAAGUCGAGCGAGCGGCGGACGGGUGAGUAAUGUCUGGGCAACUGCCUGAUGGAGGGGGAUAACUACUGUAAACGGUAGCUACUACCGCAUACCAUCAGAUGUGCUCUUAUGGGAUUAGCUAGUAGGUGGGGUAAUGGCUCACCUAGGCGACGAUCCAUAGCUGGUCUGCGAGGAUGACCGGCCACACUGGAACUGAGACACGGUCCAGACUCCUACGGGAGGCAGCAGUGGGGAAUAUUGGACAAUGGGCGAAAGCCUGAUGGAGCCAUGCCGCGUGUGUGAAGAAGGCCUUCGGGUUGUAAAGCACUUUCAGCGAGGAGGCGUUACUCGCAGAAGAAGCACCGGCUAACUCCGUGCCAGCAGCCGCGGUAAUUC